GCCUGCAGCCAUUUCACUCUUGUGGCACCUGAACCGUCCAGAUCUCAGAAGCUACACAGAGUCAGACCUGGUUAGUAUUUGGAUGAGAGUUCUCCAGGAUGCACUGGGUUGAUAUUAGUC
rnacentral:rRNA from 1 species